UGGACUUGCUGCUGCAGCUGCGGUUCUGCUGUGUCAUGCAAGAAGGAGGCGGCGGCGGCGGCCGGAGCUGGAGGGGGAGGAGGGGAGGAACCUGAUCCUCGGUAGCGAAGGGCUGGAGGCAAACACCGAGCUCCCCCUGAGCCGCCUGGGAGCAGGGAGGGUUCUGCUACCCUGAGGGGCCCUCCCCGCGGGGCAGAGGGGUUUCCUCAGCAGUGCCCCGGAGCAGGGACCGCGCCAGCCAGCAGAAACAGCUAGUUGUUGUCUGCAGUGAAGAAUAAUUGGAAGCAUGGUGCCUGUUUCUUUUCCUCUCAUCCUCGUCUACGGCCAAACGUUGGUUUCUCAUUUCUAGAAGAUGAAAGAUGUGAUGACUCAGGAAAAACUUGCUGCUCGAGAUGUGAGUCUUCAGAUGUUCCUGCCGCCAUAUCUGACAGCUGCUGCCAAGAUUCCCUGGUGGGAUGGACUCUUAUACCUCAACAACCAGAAGCCCAAGUAAACUCUUCUAUAAAUUGAAUGACUCAUGCUUAAAAAAAAAAACAAAAAACAAACUAUCUUUAUUUUGUGUGCAUUGGUGUUUUGCCUACAUAUAUGUCUGUGUGAGAGUGUCAGAUUCCUUGGAACUGUAGCUACAGAUAGUUGUGAGCCACCAUGUGGGUGCUGGGACUUGAACCCCAGUCCUCUAGAAGAGCAGCUGGUAGGUACUCUUAACCACUGGACCAUCCCUCUAGACCCUGAUCAUGGUGUUUUAACUACAGCAAAAGAAAAGUAAUUAGCACAAUCAGGUUAGCCAGAGGGCACACCUGUGACAGAUUUUUCCUAAGUGCAUUCAUCAGGGGGAGGCCCACCCUGGAUGGGGGCAGCACCCUUCCUUGGGUUUGGGUCUUAGAAAGAAUAAACACAGAGAGGGAGCUGAGCACAAGCCAGCAAGCACAAGCUAAGCAAGCACUGUCCAGUCUUCCUCUGCUUUGACUGAGGAUGUGACGUGUCUAGCUGCUUCAGGUUUCUGCCUCGAAUCCCCUGCAGUCAUAGACUAUAACCUGGAAUUGUGAGCCAAAAGAAAAACAAAAGAAAACAAAAUCCAUUUUCUCCCCAUAUGUUGCUUUUUGGUCAAAGCAUUUGAUCCCAGUAACAGAAAAGAAAUGAGGACAGGCAAGAAGAGGCCAUACCACAGAGCCAGGAGCAGGUUGUAGUGCCAAGUUGCAGAGGCCGGGGAGGAGCAUAGGUGCAGAGCAGCCGCUGUCAGAAUGUUCAGGGAAAAGGAGAAGAGAGGAUGUGUCAGGGAAGUGAGCUGGCUCAGUCCAUAACAGCAUGGUCUUGCUGUCUUUUACAGGGUCUGAAGUCUACCUUAGUGCAGUGGGAGCCACUAACUGUCCUAGUAUGAAGGAAGGAUAUUGAUGUUUUUUGGGCAUGUAAGUGUGUGUGUGUGUGUGUGUGUGUGUGUGUCCCCAUACUCUAGGGACUGAGCCUCCUCACCCAUGUACCACACAGCUUCAGUCCCAGUCCCAUAUUUUGUUUUCAAUCAAACUUUAUACAAAUGUUUCUCAAGAAAAUUAUAAGUUACUUCUUUUAUUUCUCAUUAAUAAUAUUUUGGGGUUUUUAUUUAAUAAAUUUUAAAGCAAGAUGA
rnacentral:lncRNA from 1 species